CGGAGGAAAAGAAACCAACAGGGAUUGCCUUAGUAGCGGCGAGUGAAGCGGCAAAAGCUCAAAUUUGAAAUCUGGCGCCUUCGGUGUCCGAGUUGUAAUUUGAAGAUUGUAACCUUGGGGUUGGCUCUUGUCUAUGUUUCUUGGAACAGGACGUCACAGAGGGUGAGAAUCCCGUGCGAUGAGAUGCCCAAUUCUAUGUAAGGUGCUUUCGAAGAGUCGAGUUGUUUGGGAAUGCAGCUCUAAGUGGGUGGUAAAUUCCAUCUAAAGCUAAAUAUUGGCGAGAGACCGAUAGCGAACAAGUACAGUGAUGGAAAGAUGAAAAGAACUUUGAAAAGAGAGUGAAAAAGUACGUGAAAUUGUUGAAAGGGAAGGGUUUGAGAUCAGACUCGAUAUUUUGUGAGCCUUGCCUUCGUGGCGGGGUGACCCGCAGCUUAUCGGGCCAGCAUCGGUUUGGGCGGUAGGAUAAUGGCGUAGGAAUGUGACUUUACUUCGGUGAAGUGUUAUAGCCUGCGUUGAUGCUGCCUGCCUAGACCGAGGACUGCGAUUAUCAAGGAUGCUGGCAUAAUGAUCCCAAACCGCCCGUC
rnacentral:rRNA from 1 species